CCACUCAAGGACUCCGAGUUGAUGUCCUAUAUUCUUGGUGGUUUAGGAUUGGAAUACGAAUCCUUGGUUACGUCCAUUUUCACCCGCAUUGAACAUGUUUUAAUUGAUGAUCUAUAUAGCCAUUUGCUCACUCAUGAGC